rnacentral:rRNA from 1 species
AGUUCGUACCGUAAGGCGUUCUGUUAAGUCAGAUAACGAACGAGACCUCCGUCACCAUUUGCUAUCCUCUUCUCCGGAAGGGGAGCACUAUGGUGGUACCGCCACUGUUAAAGUGGAGGAAGGAGGGGGCAACGGUAGGUCAGUAUGCCCCGAAUCUCCCGGGCUACACGCGCGCUACAAAGGGCAGGACAAUGGGCUUCGACACCGAAAGGUGAAGGCAAUCCUGAAACCUGCUCGUAAUUCGGAUUGAGGGCUGCAAUUCGCCCUCAUGAAGCUGGAAUACGUAGUAAUCGCGGGUCAACAUCCCGCGGUGAAUAUGCCCCUGCUCCUUGCACACACCGCCCGUCAAACCACCUUAGUUGGGUCUGGACGAGGGUUUGUCUUCUGACACGCUCGAAUCUGGGUUCAGCGAGGAGGGUUAAGUCGUAACAAGGUAUCCGUAGGGGAACCUGCGGAUG